rfam:Picea glauca, whole genome shotgun sequence.
GCAAAAGCCCUAUUCAGGGCUACAGAAAAGUUUGUUGUCGAAUUCAU